rnacentral:misc_RNA from 1 species
GAAAUGCGAUAAGUAAUGUGAAUUGCAGAAUUCAGUGACUCAUCGAAUCUUUGAACGCACCUUGCGCUCCUUGGUAUUCCUUGGAGCAUGCCUGUUUGAGUAUCAUGAAAUCUUCAAAGUAAAUGUUUUGUUAACUCAAUUGGUUUCUACUUUGGUAUUGGAGGUCUUUGCAGCUUCACACCUGCUCCUCUUUGUUCAUUAGCUGGAUCUCAGUGUUAUGCUUGGUUCCACUCGGCGUGAUAAGUUAUCUAUCGCUGAGGACACUGUAAAAGGUGGCCAAGGUAAAUGCAGAUGAACCGCUUCUAAUAGUCCAUUGACUUGGACAAUACUUUUAUGAUCUGAUCUCAAAUCAGGUAGGACUACCCGCUGAACUUAAGC